AGGGCAAGAGCAGUGAGGGAACACCUCAAAAACUGGAGGGAGAAGCAUCUGUGAAUAAUCAAGGCAGUGAGGAAGAAAAUGCAGUUGGAGAGAGGUGCUCUGUAACACGCAGAGGUUAGUCAGGGGACCAGAAAGCUCGGGUGACGCCUGAGGAAAGGCAGUGCUGAGUGUCCGUGAUCAGCAGAGGUGGACGGCAGGAAGGAAAAGGAUGAGCAGCAGAUGGGAUGACGUAUUCCUUGGCUCACGAUGUGGUGCUACAUAGGCAUUCGUUGCUUCACUGCACGAAUGUGCUACGGUCUACCUGGAUACUUCUAAGCUCCUCUUGAUGCGAAUACAGCUUUCAUCUUCUUUUAAGAAGGUAUAGCACUGACCUGGCAUGAUUUGCUCUACCCGUCAGAGGUUACCUUAGAAGAGUAACCCAACCAUCCAUUUUGAUCUUUACCUUCCAGUCAUGUUUUCUGCCCUGCCUGCUCCCCUCCAAGUGAUGCCUGUGUAAGAAAAUGAUAGAAGGAGCCUGAUUACCAGCAACAGUAUUUUCCGGAUUUCCACAGAUGCUAGACACCUGAAAGAUUCUUGAGUGACCCUGCUUUGGGCCUGCGGAGCCCCGGCAGUGUACAUCUCAGCCUGUGGCCAAAUGGCUGUGAAAGUUGAUUGGCUGCAGCACGGUUGGCAAGCCUGAUAACAUGAUGGAUAAGGCUCAUCGUGUUCAUUUCAAAACGAUGUUUUACCCUUGCCUGGGAAACUAGAUUCCCAGCCUGAUUUGUUGGGUUUGGGUUCAGCAACAGGGGUGGCAGGUAAAGAGGGAGCAGAGACAUGCAGACAUCAGGCUCCAGUAUCCCCACCACAACUGAGGGACGCUCAAAUGUAGUUUCAGUGCAUGUUAGCAGGACUGUACAGACCAGGGCUCCCUGAAGCUGGGUGCUCUGUACAUGGCGAUGGCCAAUCCUCCCACUCUGAGUGCAGAGUCGGCGAAGGAACUCAGAGCUUGUUAGGGGGACACACUGGGCUUCCUUGCCCUGAUCUCCCAUCAUGAAAAAGUAAAUACAUAUGUAAAAUUAAAACUUAAAAUUUUUUCUUGUCUGGUUAAGCCAUGCUUGCUCUGCACCAUUAUUAAAGAUCACUGUCAGGCUAAUCAAACAUUGUUCUCCUAACCCUUCCUGGAAGCAGUUGAGGAAACUGCAUUUUUUUGUUUUCCUGUUCUCAGGACCAAAUGGUCAAGGUAACGUUCAUUUCCUGCCUUCGUGGUUUUUGUUUUCACUGUAUUUUCAAUGUUCUGAAAUAAUUUUACAGAGAUCUUUGAAUCAUAGUAAUUCAGUAUUUUUUCCUUUGUUUUCUCCGCACCCUAUAUUCCAUUGCUCUCCCAGAAGCAGAUUGCUAGAGCUAGAUGCGGCCUCUGGGAGUCAUUUAGCACAAUCCUCUCCUUGUCUCCUGAGAAAGAAGGGCAAGACCUUGACCUUUACAGGCACCUACUAUUGCCAGGCACAGGACCUAUGUGACAUUUUGCAUAAUUACCUCACUUAAACCUACAACCGUCCUCCGGAGUGGGUGCUGUUGUCCUCACAUCUUGGACAAGAAAACUAAAGCACAGAGAGAUUACAUGACCUAAGUAAGAUCACACAGCUGAGGCUCUAAUCCAGCUUCUGGAAGACAAGUCUCUCCUGUCCACCAUCCUGAUCUGGCUCUGCCCUGUACCUGUCAACCAGAUCCAGCAUUAGCUGGAAGUAGGCGUAAAGGCAAGUAGGGCUCCAGGGCAGAUAGGACUCAGGGAGUUUAACUGCAGGUGAAAUUCUGGCAACUAUUACUAAUAUUUUAUAGCUUUAAUAGAGAAAUUGGUGGCAGACCAGAACAUGCCACUGGACUAGGAUGGAUUAGGAAAGCUUUUCAGCAGGUUAAAUAGAAAAAAUGGUUAACAUUUUUAUAAGAAAAAGGAGAACCCUUUCUAAACAGGAAGAAUUGGCUUGAUCAGAGCAGUUAUAUAAUUUCUAACUUCUGUCAAGACCCUUUCUUAACUAGAUAAGUGAUAGUUUCUUCAUGAUUUUUUUUUUUUUAACAUGUGGCAAUGUACAAAAUUUCUAUCGUGCUGAACUGAAAGCUACUCAGUAGUUUUCCUUAGGGAAUUUAGGCACGUAUUAUUUUUGCAAUACAGGCAUAUCUUGCAUUGCUCUUUGCUUUAUGAUGUUCCGCAGAUACAGUGGUUUUUGUUUUUGCUUUUGUUUUUAACCCGCUGAAGGUCUGUGGCAGCCCUGCAUCGAGCAAGCCUAUCAGUGCUGUUUGUCCAACAGCAUUUGCUCGCUUCAGGUCUCUGGGUCGCAAUUUGGUAAUUCCUGUACUAUUCCAAACUUUUUCAUUAUUAUUGUAUUUAUUAUGGCAAUCUGUGAUCAAUGAUCUUUGGUGUUACUAUUGGAACUGUUUUGAGGUGCCACGAACUGUUCCCAUGUAAACCAGCAAAUGUAACUGAUAAAUGGGUGGGUGCUGACUGUUCCACCAACCGGCCGUUCCCCUUCUCUCUCCCCCUCUCCUUGGGCCUCCCUGUUCCCUGAGACACAGUGUACUGAAAUAAGGCCAAUUAAUAACCCUACCAGAGCCUCCAAGUGCUCAAGCGAAAGGAAGAGGUACGCGUCUCUCACUUUAAAUCAAAAGCUAGAAAUGACUUAAACUCCGUGAGGAAGGCAUGUUGAAAGCUGAGAUCGGCCAAAAGUUGCCACACAGUUAGCCAAGUUGUGAAUGCAAAGGAAAAGUUCUUGAAGGAAAUUAAGAGUGCUACUCUGGUGAACACACCAAUGCUAAGAAAACAAAACAGUCCUACUGCUGAUAUGGAGAAAGUCUGAGUGGUUUGGAGAGAAGAUGAAACCAGCCACAGCAUUCCCUUAACACAAGGCCUAAUCCAGAGCCAGGCUCUAACUCUCUGCAAUUCUAACAAGGUUGAAGGCUACACUAAUGGCUUUUUCCUAAAACAGGAACACUGGUAGGAACUGAGAGAAGCAAUUCAUUCUAGCAGGAGUUGUUUCAUGGGAUUUAAGAGAAGCAGCCAUUUCAGUAACUUAAAAGUGCAAGGUAAUGCAGCAAGUGCUGAUAUAGAAGCUACAGCAACGUAUCCAGAUGAUGUAGCUAAGUCAUGAAGGGGCUAUACUAAAUGAGAUUUUCAAUGUAGACAAAGCAUCCUUCCACUGGAAGACGAUGCCAUCUAGGACUUCCAUUGCUAGACAAAAGUCAACUACCUGGCUUCAAAGCUUCAAAGGACAGGCUGACGCUCUUUAGGAGCUGAUACAGAUGGUGACUGAGCUGAAGCCAAUACUCACUUAUCAUUCUGUUUUUUUUAAAUAUAUUUUGAGAGAGGGAGAGAGAGCGAGAGCGAGCGCAUAAAUG